rnacentral:rRNA from 1 species
GACGAACGCUGGCGGCGUGCUUAACACAUGCAAGUCGAACGGAAAGGCCCUGCUUUUGUUGGGUGCUCGAGUGGCGAACGGGUAAGUAACACGUGAGUAACCUGCCCUUUACUUUGGGAUAACUUCAGGAAACUGGGGCUAAUACCGGAUAGGAGCUCCUGCUGCAUGGUGGGGGUUGGAAAGUUUCGGCGGUUGGGGAUGGACUCGCGGCUUAUCAGCUUGUUGGUGGGGUAGUGGCUUACCAAGGCUUUGACGGGUAGCCGGCCUGAGAGGGUGACCGGCCACAUUGGGACUGAAAGACGGCCCAGACUACUACGGGAGGGAGCAGUGGGGGAUAUUGCACAAUGGGCGGAAGCCUGAUGCAGCAACGCCGCGUGCGGGAUGACGGCCUUCGGGUUGUAAACAUCUUUCGCCUGUGACGAAGCGUGGGUGACGGUAAUGGGUAAAGAAGCACCGGCUGACUACGUG